UACGUAGGGUGCAAGCGUUGUCCGGAAUUAUUGGGCGUAAAGAGCUCGUAGGCGGUCUGUCGCGUCGGCUGUGAAAACCCGGAGCUCAACUCCGGGCCUGCAGUCGAUACGGGCAGACUGGAGUUCGGCAGGGGAGACUGGAAUUCCUGGUGUAGCGGUGAAAUUCGUAGAUAUCAGGAGGAACACCAGUGGCGAAGGCGGCUUUCUGGACGAUUACUGACGCUGAGACGCGAAAGCGUGGGGAGCAAACAGG
rnacentral:rRNA from 1 species